CCCCACUCCACCGCGCAGAGCCAGAGAGGGAAAAUCACUUUCAUCUGGAGAAGCGCGUGCAAAAUGCAGGUCACCGCUGUCCCUAAAAAAAGAUUAAGGAUAGAUUUGAGUUGGCCUGAUGGAGAGAUCUUCCAGACUGCUCCGGCCCAUGGAGGAUGCAGAGCAUCACAUAAGAUCAAACAUUGAUAAGCCAGUACUUUACCAGUGUUUUAUCAAUAUCUUUAAAGGACGAGGAGUUUUUGCACAACAGGAGAGCGAGGUCUGAGCUGAUCAGUACAAUGAUUCUGAAAAGGUGUUUAUUUUCAAUGGAAAGGAAGAACAUGGUGUAUCUCUACUUGAACAUCCAUCUUUUGCACAUCUACCAUUCCAGUGUUUAAUUGCCAUAUUCCUCAUGUGGGCUGGUAAAAUGCAGGUUUUGGAUGUCGGAGGAACGUGAGGCCAAAGUCGUUUUGGAGGAGAGCGCCUUGGUGGAGUUGGAGGUGUUCCCGGAGACCCAGAUGUCAACGGGUAGUCAAUCCGUAGGCCGCAGGGAGAGGUUGGAGGAGUAAUGGUAGAGUUGGGCUCAUAUCUCGACAAAGUAUAUAUAGAUGAUGAGGCGUUCGGGGCCCUCGUGGGGGAGAUGAAGGAGAUUGUGGAGGAGCUCCAAGUCUCACAAACAAGGACGGCGGAAUGGGGGUCCAUCUCACCCUUACCUGCCACUCCAAGAACGAAGAGGGACGCCACCACAGCCCAGCAGGUCCUGCAGGAGCCAGGGCUGUUUGUGCACUCGGGUGAGGCCCGGAGGAAGAAAAAUAAGAGGCUUUCCUUCGAGAUGGGGGAGGGCCAGAGUGGGCUGGGAGGGGUGGGUGUGUGAGAGCGAUUGGGGACAGUGCCACAGAGGUGGCCCCCCAGUCACCGCGGGUAUCAUCUCUCCCACUCACCCCGAUGGACAUAGAUCUGGUGGCCCCUGCGCUGUGUAUGACCGAUGGAGAUGGGUUGUUCCAGGCUUUUUCUGGGACGCCGGGACUCCCCAUCCACAACCCCAACCCAUUCCCUGCAUCUUGGGCUUCUCAGAAGGGGGAUGCAGUGGAUGGGGAGGCCUCAGAGGAAGGGGGUCAAGAGCCCUUGUCCGUGGAUGUAUGAGGGGUUGGGGAGAUGGUCAGUAACCCCGAGGUGUCUCCCCUGUCCUCACGGGGUCCAUCUCUCCAGCUCUUCCAGGUGGACAAGAACAUGUCGUCCCCGGGGCUGUUUUUGCCAGAUGGGGAUGGGGUGUCUCAGGCUAGUUCUGGGACGCCGGGACCCCCCCCAUCCCCAACCCCUUCCCCGCAUCUUGGGGUUCUCAGGGGGGCGGUAUGGGGGGUUGGAAGGUUGGGGGGGGCCUCGCAGGCUGCUGGUCCAGCGUCCAAGUGCGACGAGGACCUUUACCCACCGGACAGGGUGAGUACUUGAACCCUGCACCUGGUUGACUUUUCUUUUUAAUUGUGCAACCAAGGCAGAGAUUCAAAUAAUGACUAUGAAUGUUCGGGGUCUAAGGGACACUGUAAAAAGAACUGCUGUCUUUAGUUGUUUAUCAAACAUAUGUUAUACCUUUUUGUUUCUUUCAGGAGGUACAUUUAAGGGAUGGGGGGGAUGUAGAGCAGUUUAAAAAAGAGUGUGUAAAAGGGAAGUCUGUGUGGAGU